GUCCCCAAGAAGGACGAUUCACUUCGCAUGUGCAUUGACUUCAAGCAUAUCAAUCGGGCCUGACCGAAAGAUCAUUUUCCUCUCCCCCGCAUAGACCAAAUCGUCGACUCGACUGCGGGGUGUGAGAGAUUGUCUUUCCUGGACGCCUAUUUCGGGUACCAUCAGAUCCGACUGUAUGGACCCGAUGAGAUAAAAACGGCUUUCAUUACUCCAUUCGGAUGCUUCUGUUAUGUCACCAUGCCAUUCGGCCUGAAGAACGCCGGAGCCACAUUCAUGAGGAUGAUUCAGAAGUGUCUGCUCACUCAAAUCAGUCGGAAUAUGGAAGCAUACAUGGAUGACAUUGUGGUCAAGUCACGUAAGGGUUCCAACCUGCUGGCUGACCUUGCAGAAACCUUUGCCAACCUCAGAAUGUAUGAUAUGAACCUUAAUCCAUCAAAAUGCACAUUUGAAGUUUCUGGCGGAAAGUUACUCGGCUUCCUCGUUUUCGAAUAAGGGAUCGAUGCUAACCCAGAGAAAGUUGGUGCUAUACUCCGGAUGAAACGUUCCGUGCGUGCGCAUGAUCUUUAAAAGCUUACUGGUUGUUUGGCCGCCUUGAGUCGAUUCAUUUCUCGCUUUCCAAGAGGGGAGCCGUUCGCAGUACUAUGUGAUGUUUCUGCUAUAUUUUGCAGAAACAUCUGGUUGAUCAAUAUUAUUCAUUUGUUCUUCACAAGUUUUCUUAGGUACUGAACACUUGCUAAAUAUCUGUACUUAAUAUUGCACGUAUUACAUGAUUGAUGCUGCCAUGAACGACUAAACAUAAAAGUAAACUUUUGGGCCCUGCCUGUGAUAGUUUUGUUUUCAAUUGUAUUUUUACUAUCACGUACUGUACUUCCUUUUAUGUUCUUCGGUUCGUAACUUGAAAGUAUAAUCAUUUUACCCGUGCAGUUUCCUAGCUUUUCGGGCAGUGUGGCAUCAAUGGCGUAUAACCAUAGUGGCCAACUUUUGGUAGUUGCUUCAAACUUUACUCAUCAAGGAGCAGAUAGAGUCUGGAGGUGGAGGGGCACCAGAUAUUUAUCGAAACGAUGCGGGAUUCCAAAAGGAAGAAGUCUCCCUGAGAGUAGAAGCUCUCUUCUUACCCAGACCGGUCCAGCCGACUACUUGUACAAUUAAUCGAGCCCUACCGCUGUAGUCCCCCCCCUAACAUUAUUGAGCUAGGCAGAGUAGCAUUCAUGCCAUUGUAUGUUGUGUUUUGUUUUAUGUAUGUUUAGGCCUCAUUUUUAGUGAGAUGAAACAAGAGAGCAACUUGUUGGAAGUAAUACAUUUGAUGUGUGCAAUCCAAUGAGUGCUGAGGCACGCAGUGAAUAUCAUUAUGCUCUUACUUCACAGAUGAUUUGAGUAGAUUCUAA